rnacentral:rRNA from 1 species
ACGGCUCAGUAACACGUGGAUAACCUGCCCUACACUGGGGGAUAAUCUCGGGAAACUGAGCAUAAUACCCCAUAGACCACUACGCCUGGAACGGUGAGUGGUUCAAAGCUUCGGCGGUGUAGGAUGGGUCUGCGGCGUAUCAGGUCGUAGGGGGUGUAAUGGACCUCCUAGCCAUCGACGCGUACGGGUUGUGGGAGCAAUAGCCCGGAGACGGAUUCUGAGACACGAAUCCGGACCCUACGGGGUGCAGCAGGCGCGAAAACUUCACACUGCAGGAAACAGUGAUGAGGGAACUCCAAGUGACUGCACAAUGUGUAGCCUUUUCAUGAAUCUUAAUAGUUCUUGGAAUAAGGGCUGGGAAAGACCGGUGCCAGCCGCCGCGGUAAUACCGGCAGCUCAAGUGGUCGUCGCUUUUAUUGGGCCUAAAACGUCCGUAGCCUGUUUGGUAAAUCUGUGGGUAAAUCAACGAGCUUAACUCGUUGAAUUCUGCAGAGACUGCCAGACUAGGGACCGGGAGAGGUAUGAGGUACUCUGGGGGUAGGGGUAAAAUCCUGUCAUCCCCAGAGGACCACCUGUUGCGAAGGCGUCAUACUGGAACGGAUCCGACGGUCAGGGACGAAGCCUAGGGGCACGAACCGGAUUAGAUACCCGGGUAGUCCUAGGUGUAAACGCUGUGGAUUUGGUGUGUGGGGUCCGCAAUGGGCCCCAUGUGCCGGAGUGAAGAUGUUAAAUCCACUGCCUGGGGAGUACGGUCGCAAGGCUGAAACUUAAAGGAAUUGGCGGGGGAGCAC